GACGAACGCUGGCGGCGUGCCUAAUACAUGCAAGUUGAGCGCUGAAGGUUGGUACUUGUACCGACUGGAUGAGCAGAGAACGGGUGAGUAACGCGUGGGGCCUCUGCCUUUGAGCGGGGGACAACAUUUGGAAACGAAUGCUAAUACCGCAUAAAAACUUUAAACACAAGUUUUAAGUUUGAAAGAUGCAAUUGCAUCACUCAAAGAUGAUCCCGCGUUGUAUUAGCUAGUUGGUGAGGUAAAGGCUCAUCAAGGCGGUGCUACAGAGUCGACCGGAGCGGGUGGGCGGCCACAUUGGGACGGAGACACGGCCCAAACGCCUACGGGAGGCAGCAGUAGUGAAUCGUCGGCAAGGGACGAAAGUCUGACCGAGCAACGCCGAGGGAGGGAAGAAGGUUGUCGGAUCGUAAAACUCGGUUGGUAGAGAAGAACGUUGGUGAGAGUGGAAAGCACAGCAAGUGACGGUAACUACUCAGAAAGGGACGGCUAACUACGUG
rnacentral:rRNA from 1 species